GGCUCAGGAUGAACGCUAGCGGCAGGCUUAACACAUGCAAGUCGAGGGGCAGCGCGAGUAGCAAUACUUGGCGGCGACCGGCGCAAGGGUGCGUAACGCGUGAGCAACAUGCCCGUAUCAGGGGGAUAAUCCAGGGAAACUUGGUCUAAUACCCCAUAGUAAUUUUGUAAGGCAUCUUAUAAGAUUUAAAGCUUUGGUGGAUACGGAUUGGCUCGCGUGACAUUAGCUGGAUGGUAAGGUAACGGCUUACCAUGGCUAUGAUGUCUAGGGGUUCUGAGAGGAAGGUCCCCCACACUGGAACUGAGACACGGUCCAGACUCCUACGGGAGGCAGCAGUGAGGAAUAUUGGACAAUGGAUGGAAAUCUGAUCCAGCCAUGCCGCGUGAAAAGGAAGAAGGUCCUAUGGAUUGUAAACUUCUUUUGUAUGGGAGCAAUAAGGCCUACGAGUAGGUUGAUGAGAGUACCAUACGAAUAAGCACCGGCUAACUCCGUGCCAGCCGCCGC
rnacentral:rRNA from 1 species